rnacentral:lncRNA from 1 species
GGAAGGUGCUGGCUUGCAGUGCAGUCUUUGCUUUGCAAGCACUGUGCAGGGAGCAGCAGGAUGAGGAAACAGCCAUACGUACACACUGCGUUUCCCACGACUUGCUCUUCUUCCAAGCAGUGGUUCUGAGCCCUGGAAGUCAUCCUCUGACACGAUCGUUUUGGUGAAAGCUGUUUUGCAUCCUUACAUCCUCAGCUGCAGGACGCCGACCUCAGGGCCCACCCCAUGGAACCGACGUGCUGAGGAAGCCGGAGCCGUCCCUGGGACACAGCCCAGCUGUGGAGCGCACUGCUGCUGGCCGCAGGUACCCGGCAGCGCUGCAGGGAAAGAAUAUUUAGAAACGUUCCGUGAGUCUUUUUUCCUCUGUGGGGGUUUUGUUCUUUUUUCAAGGCCUCAAUCAUAGCAGUCUUUGCUGCAAAACAAAUAUCGAGUCGCAAUCUCUG